GAGCGUUAAUCGGAAUUACUGGGCGUAAAGCGCGCGUAGGCGGAUUAGUCAGUUAGAGGUGAAAUCCCGGGGCUCAACCCCGGAACUGCCUUUAAUACUGCUAGUCUUGAGUUCGAGAGAGGUGAGUGGAAUUUCCGGUGUAGCGGUGAAAUGCGUAGAGAUCGGAAGGAACACCGAUUGCGAAGGCAGAUUACUAACAAUAUACUGACGCUGAGGGACGAAAGCGUGGGUAGCGAACAGGAUUAGAUACCCUGGUAGUCCACGCCGUAAACGAUGGAUACUAGCUGUUCGAUCAACAUUGGUUGGUUGAGUGGCUAAGCGAAAGUGAUAAGUAUCCCACCUGGGGAGUACGCUCGCAAGUGUGAAACUCAAAGGAAUUGACGGGGGCCCGCACAAGCGGUGGAGCAUGUGGUUUAAUUCGAUGAUACGCGAGGAACCUUACCAGGGCUUAAAUGUAAGUUGCAUUAGUUAGAGAUAGCUAUUUCUUCGGACCACUUACAAGGUGCUGCAUGGUU
rnacentral:rRNA from 1 species